rnacentral:lncRNA from 1 species
GAACAUUGGCAGUCUUUAUUUUAUAAUUUUUUUUUCCUAAUAAGUGUUUAUAUAUAGUUCUUAAUUUUGCAAACUCUUGUGACCUUCUUUAUUUGUGAAUAAAACAUCAACUUUAAGUGUAUCGACCAAUGUUAGUUUACAUGAUAAAUUUUUUUCAAUUACUCUCAUGAGUAAGAAAAAAUAAUAUUUAAAAAUAAAUUUGGUAGAAUUUUGAAUCAUAGUUAAACCAAAUUUGUGUUCUUUUUGCCCUUAAUACAAACAGUUAUAUAUUUAUAAAGUUCAUGUAGUUUAGGUUGCCAAUUUCAUUUGUUAAUAUAUUGGGUUAAAUACAUGAAACAACAAACACAUGAAUUGAACCCUCCCCUGCAAGUUUAAUAAUAAAUGUCAUUAUAAAGUUCUAAAAUUCUUAAACAUCAAAAGUUCUAAAUGAUACAUGUACAAAAAAUAGCCCACAAGAGAAUUGCAAGAGCAGAGGCCAUAGCAACCAUUGAAUAAUAGCCACAAAACCUUCCAAACCCUGAAUUAAUGUUGGAUGCGACAAAUGCAUUGGUUGCACCUGAGAAUGCAAAGAUUAUGCAAAUCAAGAAGGCAUGGAAUGUUGUUGGGCGACCCUUGAAGAUUACGGCAGGAACUGGGUUUUUGUCAAUGUACUCAUAAGGAACUAGAAUGAGAAUGUUGAUCGAUGUAAAACAGAGACCUAAUACACACUCUAGAAUGGUGUAGUGUGGAAUUUGAUUAUUGGUAUUCUCUUGGAAAGUCAUUGUGGUUAUUUAUCAGUUAAAUCAUAUUUGGAUGUAGGAGAUGUGGUGAAAUUU